rnacentral:rRNA from 1 species
AGAGUUUGAUCAUGGCUCAGGACGAACGCUGGCGGCGCGCCUAAAACAUGCAAGUCGAGCGAGAACCAGGGCUUCGGCCCUGGGGACAGCGGCGAACGGGUGCGUAACACGUGAGGAACUUGUCCCGGUCUCUGGGAUAACAGUUGGAAACGACUGCUAAUACCGGAUGACGUCGGAGUGUCGCAUGGCACGCUGACGAAAGGGUUACCGGAUCGGGAGAGCCUCGCGGCCUAUCAGCUUGUUGGUGGGGUAAUGGCCUACCAAGGCAUCGACGGGUAGCUGGUCUGAGAGGAUGAUCAGCCACACUGGGACUGAGACACGGCCCAGACUCCUACGGGAGGCAGCAGUGGGGAAUCUUGCACAAUGGGCGAAAGCCUGAUGCAGCAACGCCGCGUGCGGGAAGAAGGCCCUCGGGUUGUAAACCGCUUUCAGAAGGAACGAAACUGACGGUACUUUCAGAAGAAGGUGCGGCCAACUACGUGCCAGCAGCCGCGGUAAUAC